UUGGAAAUUUCUUUGAAUUGGGGAUUUCAGAGCAAUUGCUCCUCUCAUAAUGAUAUUACUGUCAUCAAUACUGAUCUAUGAAGAUUUGUUCGCGGAGGGUUCUAGCUGUUCAUUGCGGAGGUAGAGUUUGUAUAAUUUUUUUUUUUGUAUACGCAACACUUACCAUGUCUUGGGCGAUAUCCUGAACAACCCUGCGAGAUACCAAUUUGAUGUUGUGGAUAGAGCUUGCUGUGGAGUGGGAAGGGACAGAGGUCAAAUAUCAUGUCUGCCAUUGCAAUUUCCAUGUGUGAACAGAAGGCAGAUUGUGUUUUGGGAUGGCUUUCACUCAUCAGAAUCCGCCAUUUGCUUGGAGAGUUGUUAAUGGACCGCAAGAUGAUUGUUAUCCUGUUAAUCUCAAACAAAUGGCUCUCAUUUGAUUUCCUCUUCAUGUAUCAUCCUUGCAUUUAUACAAAUAAAAUAUAAAUAAAAUGUACCAAAACUCAAUUCAAAAAAGUUCAAUAUCAUUAUGAGAGGAGGAAUUUGCUUUC